CUGCUGCCUUCCGUAGGAGUCUGGUCCGUGUCUCAGUACCAGUGUGGGGGACCUUCCUCUCAGAACCCCUACGCAUCGUCGCCUCGGUGGGCCGUUACCCCGCCGACUAGCUAAUGCGCCGCAUGGCCAUCCGCAGCCGAUAAAUCUUUAAACAUCAGGAGAUGCCUCCCAACGUUGUUACGCGGUAUUAGACGGAAUUUCUUCCGCUUAUCCCCCUGCUGCGGGCAGGUUCCAUACGUGUUACUCACCCGUGCGCCGGUCGCCGG
rnacentral:rRNA from 1 species